rnacentral:rRNA from 1 species
ACGCUCGACACCUACGGGAGGUAGCAGUGGGGAAUAUUGCACAAUGGGGGAAACCCUGAUGCAGCAACGCCGCGUGAGUGAAGAAGUAUUUCGGUAUGUAAAGCUCUAUCAGCAGGGAAGAUAAUGACGGUACCUGACUAAGAAGCUCCGGCUAAAUACGUGCCAGCGGCCGCGGUAAUCUGAGCGGGCUGGCAAGGC